rnacentral:misc_RNA from 1 species
UUUCCGUAGGUGAACCUGCGGAAGGAUCAUUAACAGAGAUGGCGCUACGGCGCAAUCGCACACCUGUGUUGUCGACUAUGUAGCUACGAGAGCAUGUUGGCGGAGUAAAGGCGCGGACCAAGGCAGUUUGUCCUGUAGUCUGCCCUUCCGCCAAGCGUCUCUCUUAUCGCUUGAACAUAACAGAUCUCAUUUUGACUGAACUCAUUUUGUGCAGUUCUGCACACAUUUAAUUCAAUACAACUGUUAGCAACGGAUCACUUGGUUCUCGCAUCGAUGAAGAACCAGC